ACGCUGGCGGCGUGCCUAACACAUGCAAGUCGAGCGAGAAUUUAGUAAUUGAUCCCUUCGGGGUGAUUUGCUAAGGAAAGCGGCGGACGGGUGAGUAACGCGUGAGUAACCUGCCCUUUGGAGUGGGGAUAACACAGAGAAAUCUGUGCUAAUACCGCAUAAUAUAUGUUUACCGCAUGAUAGACAUAUCAAAGAUUUAUCGCCAAAGGAUGGACUCGCGUCUGAUUAGAUAGUUGGUGAGGUAACGGCUCACCAAGUCGACGAUCAGUAGCCGAACUGAGAGGUUGAUCGGCCACAUUGGGACUGAGACACGGCCCAGACUCCUACGGGAGGCAGCAGUGGGGAAUAUUGCGCAAUGGGGGAAACCCUGACGCAGCAACGCCGCGUGAAGGAAGAAGGUCUUCGGAUUGUAAACUUUUGUCUUAUGGGAAGAAUUUUGACGGUACCAUAGGAGGAAGCCACGGCUAACUACGUG
rnacentral:rRNA from 1 species